UACGGAGGGUGCAAGCGUUAUCCGGAUUCACUGGGUUUAAAGGGUGCGUAGGUGGGCAGGUAAGUCAGUGGUGAAAUCUCCGGGCUUAACCCGGAACUGCCGUUGAUACUAUUUGUCUUGAAUAUAGUGGAGGUGAGCGGAAUAUGUCAUGUAGCGGUGAAAUGCUUAGAUAUGACAUAGAACAUCGAUUGCGAAAGCAGCUCGCUACACUAUUAUUGACACUGAGGCACGAAAAGCGUUGGGGGAUCAAAACAGG
rnacentral:rRNA from 1 species